rnacentral:lncRNA from 1 species
AGCCAAGAGCGGAGAAGCUGAGCCGACACUGCCACCUGAUCCCAUCCAGGCGCGGAGAAGCGAGCGACCAGCACUCUGCUCGCAGGGCCCCCAGCGCCCUCGGCCGGAGAGCGGAUUUCGCGGCAAGAAUUGGGAAGUAGCGGCGACCACCCCAGCCCGGGUCAGGCGGAGCUCGCUCAGCGCCUCACACAGGAACACUGGCCCUGCUACCGGAGCCCCAGGAGCCCCCAUGAGCGCCGGCGAAGGGAGUCCUGGAUAGCAAGGCCCUGGCUGGUCCAGGAUUGGGUUACCCCAUCAUGCCACCCAUCCUCCAGCGCCUGCAGCAGGCCACCAAGAUGAUGAGCCGCAGGAAAAUCCUGCUGCUGGUGCUGGGAUGCAGCACCUUAAGCCUCCUCAUCCACCAGGGGGCACAGCUCAGCUGGUAAGGGGGUGGGGCCUCUUGAGGGGGUGGGGCCAGAAGUUGGGUUCUGCCGGAAGGCAGCUGCCUGGUUAGGGGAUGGGUGUUCUCCUUCCCGUUCCUUCCAUCUGCCAGAAGAGUCCCCCUUUUGCUGGGCUUUGCCCUUUCUAUUCUGAAGGUGCCUUCCAUACAUUCUCUUUCGAUCCACACAACCUCCCUAGGCAGGGCCUUCAGCGAAAAGGAUGAGUGAGUAAACCAGGAUCUGAUCCAGCCCUGAGUCCUUCCAUUGGCAUCACCUUCUGAGCGCCUCCCUGUUGGGAGGAAGAGAUGUUGAAUAAUAUCCUCCGAACUGAGAAGGAACGUUAAAGACUGAAAAAUGAAACAGGCAACUCCAUAAAGUGCGAUCAUGACGUUUCCUGUGGGUUUAAUUUACAGGCAGGAAGGGUCAGGCAGCCCUUCCAUCCAGAGGCACCCCCAGCUGUACUCCAGGCCACUGAAAGGGGUACAGAGGAACUUAAAGGGGCCAAAGCGAAGAACAGAAUCUGCCUACUAAGGAGAAGCACAUCCACACCAAAAGGAACAGGAGAUUUUUACUUCUCAUGGGGGGUGGGAGUGGCCAUUAACCACCUGCAUCAGCACAAGGCACCCAGUUUUUGCAUGAGAUGAAGGCAAGGAUAGAAGGGGACAGGGGCUUACCUGGCGUGGGCACAUUCCUUGUGAGUAGGCUAAAGCUCAGUUAUGCAGAAAGGGGUGGGGAACGGACUGCGGCCCUGAGGUGGAGCUGACAAAAUGGAAUCAGUGAGGUUCAGCCACACACUCCUCCAAAGACUGCAAACAACUUCUCUCUACUGCUGUGCUGAGCAAGUCUCCUCACUUCCCUGAGCCUGUUUCUUCAUCUACGAAACAGGAACGAUCGUGUAUGUGUGACCCAGCUGGUCAUCC